CCGCAUUACCUGAGACCUGAUCUGGCAGAGAAGGGGACAGGCAGGCUUGGGGGACCACUGCUCAGCUGCUGGCAGGUACCAUGGUAGCAAGAGACAUAGAUCUCAUGUAACCUGCUGCUUGCCCCCCACAUCCUUAAAAAAGCAUGCUGUGUUUUUAAUGUAAGCUCAAUAACCGGUCGUCGGUAUGAAUUUCUGCACCUUCCCUGCAUGUCUUCCGCAUGCAUAAGCAUGGGCUCUGGUGUCCUCGGCCAGGGCAAGUGGUGAGGAAGUGGGUAUGGUCUGUCCCCUGCCAGGCCACCUCUGUGCUCCAUGGCCAUGUGGGCCAACAGGUGCCGAAGGAGCUGAACACCAGGGUCCUCUCCCCCAUCCUGAGAAAUUGCUCCAGGAAGAGGAGAGGAGAGGCAAGGGGCAAAGGUGGCUGGAGUGGCCAGUGUCGUGCUUCCCCAUCCAGUCACCUUAAGGCCAAGGGUGGACUUUUCCCAGCACAGCUGAGUUGCUCCAUGUUGCCAGUGCGCCAGAGGAUGAUGGCCAACGCAAGCUGCUGGUCCCCUCACCCAGGGCACAGCUGCAUCCUACAGGCAUUACUGUGGCCAAGACAAGGCCCUUGGAGAUCUUCUUUCCUUGCUAGCAGAUAUUGCUCUGAUUUCAGAGGGAGAUGACUCUGCUUUCCUUUUCAAAGUGAUCCUGAGUUGCCAGCUGGAGCCAUUUCACAUGGUGCCCAGCCUCAAAGACAGCCUUGGGCUCUGCGGGUCCUAAGCAGCCUGAGACUGCCAUGGGUUUCCCAGGUCUCAGAGCAGGCCACCAAGUCAUGUGUGCAGUGCCUGUAUUUGUUGAGAAGCCACCAUGGAGGAGUGGAGGGUUCGAUGGAUUUAUUUAUUUUUAGUUUGCCUCCUAUUGUGAGUUGAUGUGCUUGGAGACAGCUUCUUGGAGAAAGUAAAGCUGGGCUGUGACAGUCCUCAGCCCAAGAGGAAGACCUGUGCCAACAUGUCUUACCCCAGUGACCAAGUGUGCUGUGGAAUGAGGGGUGGAAGGUGCCACUCGUGGUCUUUGUCACCACAUCACCUACAGCUACCCUGAGCCCUGGCUUGCAACAUUAUCAAGGACACGUUCAGCUGAGCUCAUAGAUGAAUAAACACUCUGCAUUUCU